rnacentral:miRNA from 1 species
GACUUUGCGCGACGAAGUUAUUGUUUCGUCGCUCAAAGUCACUUUGAGCGACGAUGUAUUGUUGUCGCGCAAAAGUGUGUCGCGCAAAGUUACUUUGCGCGACGAUACAAUAACUUCGUCGGGCAAAAUU